GACUUCUUGGUGUAGUUGGUUAUCACGUCUGUCUAACACACAGACGGUCCGCGGUUCGAAUCCGCGAGAAGUCA
rnacentral:tRNA from 1 species